AUUGAACGCUGGCGGCAUGCCUUACACAUGCAAGUCGAACGGCAGCACGGGAGCAAUCCUGGUGGCGAGUGGCGAACGGGUGAGUAAAGUAUCGGAACGUGCCCAGUCGUGGGGGAUAACGUAGCGAAAGUUACGCUAAUACCGCAUACGAUCUAUGGAUGAAAGCGGGGGAUCGCAAGACCUCGCGCGAUUGGAGCGGCCGAUAUCAGAUUAGGUAGUUGGUGGGGUAAAGGCUCACCAAGCCGACGAUCUGUAGCUGGUCUGAGAGGACGACCAGCCACACUGGGACUGAGACACGGUCCAGACUCCUACGGGAGGCAGCAGUGGGGAAUUUUGGACAAUGGGCGAAAGCCUGAUCCAGCCAUGCCGCGUGCAGGAUGAAGGCCUUCGGGUUGUAAACUGCUUUUGUACGGAACGAAAAGGUUUGGCCUAAUAAGCUGAGCUCAUGACGGUACCGUAAGAAUAAGCACCGGCUAACUACGUGCCAGCCGCCGCGGUAC
rnacentral:rRNA from 1 species